GAUGAACGCUGGCGGCGUGCCUAAUACAUGCAAGUCGAGCGAACAGACGAGGAGCUUGCUCCUCUGACGUUAGCGGCGGACGGGUGAGUAACACGUGGAUAACCUACCUAUAAGACUGGGAUAACUUCGGGAAACCGGAGCUAAUACCGGAUAAUAUAUUGAACCGCAUGGUUCAAUAGUGAAAGACGGUUUUGCUGUCACUUAUAGAUGGAUCCGCGCCGCAUUAGCUAGUUGGUAAGGUAACAGCUUACCAAGGCAACGAUGCGUAGCCGACCUGAGAGGGUGAUCGGCCAAACUGGAACUGAGACACGGUCCAGACUCCUACGGGAGGCAGCAGUAGGGAAUCUUCCGCAAUGAGCGAAAGCCUGACGGAGCAACGCCGCGUGAGUGAUGAAGGUCUUCGGAUCGUAAAACUCUGUUAUUAGGGAAGAACAAAUGUGUAAGUAACUAUGCACGUCUUGACGGUACCUAAUCAGGAAGCCACGGCUAACUACGUG
rnacentral:rRNA from 1 species